CAGUCGCCACGGUAACACAGAGGGUGCAAGCGUUAAUCGGAAUUACUGGGCGUAAAGCGCGCGUAGGUGGUUUGUUAAGUUGGAUGUGAAAUCCCCGGGCUCAACCUGGGAACUGCAUCCAAAACUGGCAAGCUAGAGUAUGGUAGAGGGUGGUGGAAUUUCCUGUGUAGCGGUGAAAUGCGUAGAUAUAGGAAGGAACACCAGUGGCGAAGGCGACCACCUGGACUGAUACUGACACUGAGGUGCGAAAGCGUGGGGAGCAAACAGGAUUAGAUACCCCAGUAGUCCCUGUCUCUUAUAC
rnacentral:rRNA from 1 species